AAAAAGUAGCUGAAUAAAAAAAAAAUAAUUAAAAAUGAAGUAGAAUUGAACUCUAAAGACAAAUUCCUAACCGUUAGAUUCCUGGAGGACACAUGCGUGUGUAUGCUCUGCUGGAAGUCAGACAGCUGGGAGUUAUGGGGGUAGACACACGAGAAGGCACGUGCUCAAAAAAAGCAUUGAGUGACACGCUCACGAUGUACAAGCAGACUGGAGGCGGCUCACGAAACCGCCAUGAGCAGACAGCAAACAUUCAGGGCGAAGUAAUGGACAGAACGUAAGUGACAGUCGGUGGAGUCAAUUAGCUCUCACCAAUUGAAUGAAAGGUUAACUUGUCAGGUGCUUGCCCUCAAGUGUGGCACGGGCAAAGAACCAUCACGUGUUCUGUACGGCCCAUUAUGAACACAAAUUGGCAUUUUAACUGAAGAUUCUAUUUGAGGGAAAUUGAAAAGAAGACGUUUGAUGAUUGCCGUUUGAUUGACUCUGAGCAGUCAAAUAUUACAAAUAGCUCUCAGCAUGAUGCCCAUUUACACACCACUGCAACUUACAACCACAAUAAUAAAUGUAUCUUCAACACGCAAACGUUUCCUUAACUCAAUGCCUACUUCUUUGUCCAGCAUCAAUGAAAAAGCAGCGUUGUUCAUUUUGCUUACCCAACUCAGGGUGGCGUGUCCAUCAGCGAGCGGUGUCAGCUCAUCCCCACGGCAACCCCUGAUAAAACAAAAGAGCAUGUUCGAUACAGCCUGGCAGUGGCCCCUUCUCAUAAAUAGGCUAGUAGGACAGUCAGCGGUGCUUUGGUGGAAAACCGUGACAAAAUGGGUUCGACUGGAAAGUCUCUGUCGCCCCAUAUAAGGUCGUAGUCGCCCUUUUUAUUUUUGGGAUGAUGGAAAAUGGGAUCACUGCACUUGGAUAAACAUUCCCUCUUUCAGAGUGUGAUUGCUCCCACAGAUAGACUAGCCAACCUCCCGACUAGCCAACCUCCACCCCCCCCUUUUUUUUUUCCACCCCCGCCCUCCCUCCUUUUUCCAGCCGGCUACAUACAUUCCCUUUUCUAGUCACAGGGGGGAGAGACUCACUUAAAGGGCAGAAGAAGGAGGGGGCGGCUUCGUCUCCCUCUAGCCGGGCUCAACAAGUCCAUAUUAAGAAAAAAGGCCUCUCUCUCUCUCUCUCUCUCUCUCUCUCUCUUUCUCUCUCUCUCUCUCUCUUUCUCGCUCUCUCUCUCUCUGUGAGCCGAUUCUUGAGGUCUGUUCUCAGGAAGUGCGAUCUACUGUACAUAUAUCCACACAAGCAAUAAACACAUCUGCCCUCUCUCAGCCUCUUUGUCUUCGCGUGCAACAUCAAGUCGAAAACCUGCAUCCUGUUCCCAAGUGCUGGGAAAAAUCGGCACAACAUGUGACAGUGUCACAUACUCGUCCAGGUUUACACUCUGACUUACUUCUGGAACAAUUUCACAAUAUUGACAGCGAUAGUACCGUUGGCUGAACGUGUUGGCAGAGCAAGGCGGGACAGAUGCAAGGCGCAACUGAACCCAAACCUUCCGGCAUUCAUAGGUAGCAAACAUUUACACGAGAACCACAUACUGUGCUGAGACCAUCCUAAAAAACACCCACUUUGGUUUGUCAUUUAAAUUCUGUCAGAGUAGGGUGUAACCAAAACAAUUCAAUUCGGGGAAUGGGUUUUGAUUUAAAAGCCGUGAGCGCAUUGAAUCCAACCUAAUCGAAUCAUCGCACUUUAAAAUGUAUGUCUCGAAUGGUCUUUUAUUGCAGAGAUAUUUCUUUGGAAGAAAUCCACCAUUUAUACUAUUGACAAGUUCAUUCGUAUGUACUGGAUGCAAAAUGACAACCAGAAACUAAUUGCAUCAGAGCCUCUCAAACUAAGAUACACCAUAUCAAAUCGAUUUAUAAUCCCACUGAUUUGGAAUGGAAUCGAAUCGUUCCGCCAACUGACCCGUCCUUGAAUCGUAUCGCACCCCAGGUGAUACAUAUCAAAUCAUCUCAUAUGUAUAUACUGAUCUUUCUGUCUAUUUGAUCAUUUGGACGAGCCGGUCGCUGUGCAUAAUCUUUGAAAAGGCCAAGUACAAUGUCAAGGGAAGGCGAGAGUUUGUCAACGCAUCUCAACUGGCAAGACAUCGAAAGCAACAACAAACCUGACGAAUCAACAGCGGCCGCUGCCAUGCAAGGGAAUGGCACGGACCAAAAGUUGUUGCCGUCGUCGAUGUCAUACAACGACUGAUUGCAAUGCAUGCAGAGAAUGGUCGACUGUAUACGUACGGUUGUUGUUUCUACAGAGCAAUCAUAGCAGCAGGUUAAAUUGUAAUGUGAAACUGUACAACUUUAAUGCGAUAUUUUGUCUUUCACAAAAUGGAAUGUUGAAUAUUGUUCACAAUAUUGUUAUUAAAAGAGUUUGUUUACAUUGAUGUUUGAAGGCAUUCAAAGGAAAAGCUAAAUCUCAUAAAAAGGUAAGUUAGUGUAUAAAAAGAGGACUAUUUUGUUCAGUUGCACUUUGUUUAUGUUAGCUUAUUAAAACUAGCUUGUUCUGAUAUCAAUUUGUUGUUGUUGCUGUUUUACAUUUUGGACUCAAUAAAGCUUAGUUUGAAAAAGAAAUUAGCCAAUGAAAACAUUUCUUUUGUUUACUUGGUGUUAGCUUUAAUUAGAUUAGGUUUACUUUCAAGACAACCAUUGUUACUGUGUCAAAAUAUCAUAGCGAACAAGUGUAUCAAAAUCUCCUUUCCCGUAUCGAAUUGUAUCGUUCUCAAAAAGCAAAGUCGUAUCGUAA